UUGAUGCAUUUAUAAUUGAUUAUGCUUUGUUUUCCUUUCGUCACAAUUCCACUAUGAUAAAACAUUUGUUGUAAUCUUCUUUCCUUUUCUCUUAUUUUCUUAAAUUUCUAAAUUUGCCAGUGCUGUUCUGUCCUUGCAUGAUCUGUACAGCUCAUUCCUGUUUUAGUUCGUUGAAAUUUAUGAUUACCCACUACACGCAAUGAAGAUUCAUGUUUUUAGCAAAAUUGGUUUUGGGCCAAUAACCUGAGGGUCUUUCUGCAAACUUCUCUACCACAAAAUUCUCCAAUCAACCAAGAUGGAGAUAGAAAAUAGCACUCCUUUUACUCAUGGUGGGGUAUACAUGAUGAUUCCUAGACCAUUUUUGAACUUUUUCGUGUUUCUUUCCAAGAAGUUUCGUGGGAAGUAAAUGAGCAUCAAGAAAACGCCCCCAUCUGCUAUAGUUACUUGUGGGGAAGUUAAAAGAGUUCCAUUGCCUAGAAUUAUCCACCUUGCUAAAAGUACAGGCAAAAGAAAGUGUGUAAAAAAGAAAAAGAACCAAUUUUGUUUGUGCUGUUUCUCCAUCAUUUGCUACACCUACUAAACCUUUCGGUGCAUUUAUUACUUUUUAGUGAUAUAAGUGAUUAGUGAUUAUCCUUUGG